AGAAUCAUAGGCCUUGUUGAUUUUUAUGAAAUGAAAUUGAUUUAUAUGAAAUGAAAUGAGAUUGGAUGUUAUGAAUCAUAUUAUGAUGAGAUAUUUUAAAUUAUCUCCAUUUACUCGACUUUAGAUGUUUUAGAUGAAAUUUGCUUACUCACUGGGUUUAUAAAAACUCACCCCUUCUUUUUACCCAUUUUAGGCUCAGGGCAGUCUGUAGAUCGCUGAUUAUGUCGAAG
rnacentral:lncRNA from 1 species